ACGUAGGGGGCAAGCGUUGAUCGGAAUCACUGGGCUUACAGCGCGUGUAGGCGGGGCGGCAGGUCUUCUGUGAAAGCCCCCGGCUCAACCGGGGAACAGCGGGGCGAACUUCGGGUCUUGAGGCAGGUAGGGGCGGAUUGAACUGUCGGUGGAGCGGUGGAAUGCGUAGAGAUCCGGAGGAACACCAGAGGCGAAGGCGACACCCUGGGCCGUACCUGACGCUAAGACGCGACAGCACGGGGAGCGAACGG
rnacentral:rRNA from 1 species